rnacentral:rRNA from 1 species
UACGUAGGGCGCAAGCGUUGUCCGGAAUUAUUGGGCGUAAAGAGCUCGUAGGCGGUUUGUCGCGUCUGUCGUGAAAGCUUGGGGCUUAACCCUAAGUCUGCGGUGGAUACGGGCAGACUAGAGGCAGGUAGGGGAGAACGGAAUUCCCGGUGUAGCGGUGAAAUGCGCAGAUAUCGGGAGGAACACCGGUGGCGAAGGCGGUUCUCUGGGCCUUACCUGACGCUGAGGAGACGAAGCGUGGGGAGCG